CCUACGGGAGGCAGCAGUGGGGAAUAUUGGACAAUGGGCGAAAGCCUGAUCCAGCAAUUCCGCGUGUGUGAAGAAGGCCUUCGGGUUGUAAAGCACUUUAGUGGGGGAAGAAACAGCUUGGCCACACCAAGCCUUGACGGUACCCCAAGAAUAAGCACCGGCUAACUCUGUGCCAGCAGCCGCGGUAAUACAGAGGGUGCAAGCGUUAAUCGGAUUUACUGGGCGUAAAGGGUGCGUAGGUGGCUAUUUAAGUCGGAUGUGAAAGCCCGGGGCUCAACCUCGGAAUUGCAUUCGAUACUGAGUGGCUAGAGUUCGGUAGAGGGCGGCGGAAUUUCCGGUGUAGCGGUGAAAUGCGUAGAUAUCGGAAGGAACAUCAAUGGCGAAGGCAGCCGCCUGGGCCUGGACUGACACUGAGGCACGAAAGCGUGGGUAGCAAACAGGAUUAGAUACCCUGGUAGUCCACGCCGUAAACGAUGAGAACUUGACGUUGGUUCGUUUUACGAAUCGGUGUCGCAGCUAACGCGAUAAGUUCUCCGCCUGGGGAGUACGGCCGCAAGGUUGAAACUUAAAGAAUUGACGG
rnacentral:rRNA from 1 species